AAAUUAAAAUAAUUUAAUAGGAAGUUACAUAGCACACAUCAAGUGCUUGAUGUAAACUAGGACAAUUGUUAACUUAUUAAUUGUUAGUUAACUUAACUAUUAUUCUGUCAUUUGAAUUUUCAGCAAAUAUAUGCUUAGCACACUUCACAGAAGAUUUGUUUGUGAGAAGUAAGAAGAUUUGAUCUCCUAUGGACAUUCGAAAACGGCCGCUUUUGCCGAGUGCAGUUCCAACAUUAUUGUUACCAAAAACGGAAAAUAGUGACAAUGAAAGUAAUAUGGACUUCAAAGUCAUAGCCGAAGAUUUUCCGCUUCCCGUCAUCCACGAAAAUGUACAUGCAGUCUUCCGAGUUACUCGUCAGCCCUGAUGAUCCAUCGAAUAUACAGGAAUGUAUGAUAGAUGUAGAAUCACCAGGGUCGAUUUAGAAGUAAUUGAAGGCUGGAGGAAACAUAUGCAAUGUGUCGAACGCCACCAAAAACAAGAAAAAAA
rnacentral:lncRNA from 13 species